rnacentral:rRNA from 1 species
CCUACGGGAGGCUGCAGUGGGGGAUAUUGCACAAUGGGGGGAACCCUGAUGCAGCGACGCCGCGUGGGUGAAGAAGCGCCUCGGCGCGUAAAGCCCUGUCAGCAGGGAAGAAAAUGACGGUACCUGACGAAGAAGCCCCGGCUAACUACGUGCCAGCAGCCGCGGUAAUACGUAGGGGGCAAGCGUUAUCCGGAUUUACUGGGUGUAAAGGGGGCGCAGACGGCGAUGCAAGACAGGAGUGAAAGCCCGGGGCCCAACCCCGGGACUGCUCUUGGAACUGCGUGGCUGGAUUGCAGGAGGGGCAGGUGGAAUUCCUGGUGUAGGGGUGAAAUGCGUAGAUAGCAGGAGGAACACCGGUGGCGAAGGCGGCCUGCUGGACUGCAACUGACGUUGAGGCCCGAAAGCGUGGGGAGCAAACAGGAUUAGAUACCCCGGUAGUC